rnacentral:rRNA from 1 species
GACGAACCGUGCGAACGUUGUUCGGAAUCACUGGGCUUAAAGGGCGCGUAGGCGGGCUGCCAAGUCUGAGGUGAAAUCCCACGGCUCAACCGUGGAACUGCCUUGGAUACUGGCGGCCUCGAGGGAGGUAGGGGCAUGCGGAACUAUGCGUGGAGCGGUGAAAUGCGUUGAUAUGCAUAGGAACUCCGGUGGCGAAGGCGGCGUGCUGGACCUCAUCUGACGCUGAGGCGCGAAAGCCAGGGGAGCGAACGGG